GUCGUGAGAUGUUGGUUAAGUCCGCAACGAGCGCAACCCUUGUCGUUUAAUUGCCAGCAUUCAGUUGGGCACUUUAAGAGACUGCCGGUGUUAAGCCGGAGGAAGGUGGGGAUGACGUCAAGUCCUCAUGGCCUUUAUGCCCAGGGCUACACACGUGCUACAAUGGGUGGUACAAAGAGAUGCCAACUCGCGAGAGCGCGCCAAUCUCAGAAAGCCAUCCUCAGUUCGGAUUGGAGUCUGCAACUCGACUCCAUGAAGUUGGAAUCGCUAGUAAUCGCGGAUCAGCACGCCGCGGUGAAUACGUUCCCGGGCCUU
rnacentral:rRNA from 1 species